rnacentral:rRNA from 1 species
GCCGCGGUAAUACGGAGGGUGCAAGCGUUAAUCGGAAUUACUGGGCGUAAAGCGCACGCAGGCGGUUUGUUAAGUCAGAUGUGAAAUCCCCGCGCUUAACGUGGGAACUGCAUUUGAAACUGGCAAGCUAGAGUCUUGUAGAGGGGGGUAGAAUUCCAGGUGUAGCGGUGAAAUGCGUAGAGAUCUGGAGGAAUACCGGUGGCGAAGGCGGCCCCCUGGACAAAGACUGACGCUCAGGUGCGAAAGCGUGGGGAGCAAACAGGAUUAGAUACCCUGGUAGUCCACGCUGUAAACGCUGUCGAUUUGGGGAUUGGGCUUUAAGCUUGGUGCCCGUAGCUAACGUGAUAAAUCGACCGCCUGGGGAGUACGGCCGCAAGGUUAAAACUCAAAUGAAUUGACGGGGGCCCGCACAAGCGGUGGAGCAUGUGGUUUAAUUCGAUGCAACGCGAAGAACCUUACC